UUUGCCUGAAUUUACCUUAUAGAGGGCCAUGUUGCUAUGCUGAGUAAGUCGUUAUCCUCGUUUUUAAGGAACAGGACACUAAGAUGGAAACACAAUUCUGUUCAUGCAUGUGGACAUAACUGGAACACAGAACGAAGCUGAACUGCAGCAACCCCUUAAAGAGAGUGCUCCCUGAAUUCUAGGCAUGUCCUGAGUCCUGGGAUCAGAGGCAAAUGUGUGCCACCACAUCCAGUUAUGCAGUCCUGGUGACUGAAGCUGAGGCUUUGUACAU